GUAUAGUGUAUACUCUCCGAUCCCAAUACAUUCAUAAUAUUAUAUAUAAACAUGUCGACGUCCAUUAACACAGUCACUAAGCUUUCCAGUCUCGUUCUGCUCUUGCUGCUGCUUCUACUCCCUUCUUUUGAUUCGAAGAUGAGGAUGAGGGUGAGGGUGGAGGGCGGAGGAUCCGGGCGGGUUUGCGAGUCAAAGAGCAACAGAUUCAAAGGGCUGUGCUGGAGCGACACCAAUUGCGGCAGCGUCUGUAGAAGCGAAGGCUUCGCCGGCGGCAAUUGUCGCGGUUUCCGUCGCCGUUGUUUCUGCUCUCGCUCUUGCCAACAUGCCUGAUCUCAUCACCGCCGGCCGCCCUAUAUUUAAAUUAUAUAUAUUAUUAUACUAUAGAAUAAAGUUCUAUUUUUUUUUUUUUUUAAUAAACUAAGGAAGCUAUUCCUUUUAUUUACCUUUAAUCUAUCACUUAAUACCAAUUGAGUUCUGUACAAGUACGAGUGAAAUAGUAUAAAUAAAUGACACACAUUAUAUAAUUUAUGUUA